rnacentral:ncRNA from 1 species
CUAUGACUUGUAUAGUCAUGGCGGAAGGAG